rnacentral:rRNA from 1 species
UACGGAAGGGGCAAGCGUUGUUCGGAAUCAUUGGGCGUAAAGGGCGCGUAGGUGGUUCUGUAUGUCUACCGUGAAAGCGUACGGCUCAACCGUAUUUUGUCGGUAGAAACUGCAGGACUUGAGGCUGGGAGGGGCUGGUGGAAUUCCCUGUGUAGCGGUGAAAUGCGUAGAGAUGGGGGAGAACACUCGUGGCGAAAGCGCUCUGGCUGGACUGCAACUGACAUUGAGGGACGAAAGGCUAGGGGAGCGAAUGGG